rnacentral:misc_RNA from 1 species
AGACCGCGACGGCGGUGGUGAUUCAGACUUCUUAUCAACCUCGAAAAGUCGUGGAGAAGAAUAGGGAGAAAUUCGUUGACAUUGGGCGUCGAUUACAUGUACGCGAUGAGGUGCCAUUGAUAAGACUCGGAGCGCCGCGUGGUUCCGCCUCCGCCGUGCCCAAACGCGGCACAUUACGGACGUGUGGAUAAAGCGGCGCCAUAUAUACACGAUAUACAACCGUAUUUUUUCUUUCGGGAGUGCGAAAAUACGAAAAAAAGGGAGGAGUGAAACGCCUCGAGAAAUCGCGACAGCAUAGCAGCUCAAGAAAGAGAUAAAAGUACUUGGAAGUCCGUGGAUGCGGCGCGGUGCUUGCACCCGUGCGUGAAUCACGCUUUCGAGGUGCUUGUGUAUCUCCUGCUGUCGAGUACACCCCAUACCCACAACAUUGACCCGUUCGUAGACGCCGUGACUGUUCGCAAUCGAACAUUUUUCGUAAAUUCUGGCGAUUUACCUUGUGUCACCCACGAGGAGGGGCAUCUUUGUUUCAUUCCAUGUUCCCCACCGGUCGUCAAGCUCUUCCACCGUACAAAGCCGGUAUCUGAAAUAUUUUUUUCAAUACGUCUACUAAAUUGAUAGAAGUCGCUUAUUUUCCUUUAUAACUAAAGUGAAUGGAUCUUAGAAUCUCGUGUUUUCAAGAGAGAACUUGGUGGUCUUGUCAACAUAAAGGAUUCUUUAUUUACCAUCAUUUGAACCCCUAAUUUUUUCAAAUUUGUGCAACUGGUAGGAGGUAAUAGUACUAAACCGGUCUUUAAGUAAUAGUUAGAAACAGAGCAACGUACGGUAGAUUGGCAACAAAGAGACAGAAGCGAAGACAACAUGUCAGAUGAAGAAGAUAAACCCCCUGCGCCUCCUGUGCGACUUACGUCAAACAGAGGUGAAUCAGCACCUAAUUUACCAGUGGAUAUGCGUCCACUACCUAAAGAACCUGAUUCUGAUGAACGUAAGAAAAAAACACUGAAAAGCAAGAUGAAGGUAAAGGAGAACAAGGAUAAGCCAAAUAUCAGUUAUCCCACUAAUUUUGAACACACAGUACAUGUUGGAUUUGAUGCUGUUACCGGUGAAUUUACAGGAAUGCCAGAAGCUUGGGCAAGGUUGCUUAUGUCUAGUAACAUCAGUAAGCAAGAACAGAAGAAGAAUCCGCAAGCUGUAUUAGAUGUUUUAAAUUGGUAUGAUAGUAGCAGUAAAGAAACAAAAGGUUCCAAAUAUAUGACAACAACAAAAAUGGUUGGCGUAGUUGCUCCUAUUGAAAGAGCAAGUAGCCCUAGAAGCAUGGGUAUAGGUGUUGGAACAGGGGUAGGAAAUAUUCGUGGUCAAGCAAUGUCACAAGCUUCUGGAAGUUCUCAUUCUCAACAUUCACUCAGCAGAGUAAGUAGCAGUAGUCCAAGUAGUACGCCAACUGAUGCUUGUGCAACCAGUUCUGAACAAGAGGAUGAACCUCCGCCACCACCGAUCUCGGCUAGACCAGAGCGUACAAAAUCAAUUUAUACGAAACCAAUAGAAGAAGAACCACCGCCACCAUUAACAACUACACUAGGAUCACCUCAACGAAAUGGUACACCGCAACAACCACACCAGUCGCAGCUGGAUAGAAACAAAAAUCAAGCAACUCCCACAUCAACGACCACCGAUCAAACGAGACCAACGCAAAGUGAUAAAGCUAGAAAGAAAAAGAUGUCAGAUGACGAGAUAUUAGAAAAACUUAGAACAAUCGUGAGCGUAGGUGAUCCGAAUAGAAAAUAUACAAAAAUGGAAAAGAUAGGACAAGGUGCUUCAGGAACAGUAUAUACAGCAAUUGAAACAUCAACAGGAAUGGAAGUUGCAAUAAAACAAAUGAAUCUUUCGCAACAACCAAAGAAAGAGUUAAUAAUAAAUGAAAUAUUAGUUAUGCGGGAGAACAAACAUGCAAACGUUGUAAACUACUUGGAUAGUUACCUCGUAGGGGAAGAAUUAUGGGUAGUUAUGGAAUAUUUACCUGGUGGUAGUUUAACAGAUGUUGUAACUGAGACUUGUAUGGACGAGGGUCAAAUAGCAGCGGUGUGCAGAGAAGUGUUGCAAGCUUUGGAGUUCCUUCAUUGUAAUCAAGUUAUACAUAGGGAUAUCAAGUCUGAUAAUAUCCUACUUGGAUUAGACGGCGGAGUAAAACUAACAGAUUUCGGAUUUUGUGCACAAAUUUCACCGGAACAAAGUAAACGAACUACAAUGGUUGGUACACCAUAUUGGAUGGCACCAGAAGUAGUCACGAGAAAACAGUAUGGCCCAAAGGUCGAUAUUUGGUCAUUGGGUAUAAUGGCUAUUGAAAUGAUAGAAGGAGAACCACCGUAUUUAAACGAAAAUCCUUUGAGAGCGUUGUAUUUAAUCGCAACAAAUGGAAAGCCUGAAAUUAAAGAGAAAGAUAAAUUGUCGGGAAUUUUUCAAGAUUUUUUAGAUCAGUGUUUAGAAGUUGAAGUGGAGAAACGAGCGGCUGCUUCAGAAUUACUCAAGCAUCCUUUUCUGAAAUUAGCAAGGCCACUUGCUUCUUUAACACCUUUAAUAAUGGCAGCAAAGGAAGCUGCCAAAGGUCAUUAGAAGAGUGGUGUUUUGUGGUCAUGCAUGAUCGCAGAAAAAGAAAAAUAAUUUUACAAGAAAAUAAUGAAUCACCCUCCCAAAACGGAACGGCACAAUAAUUCAAUAAUAUAUAAUAAAAUAAUAAACAUAUAUAAAUAUAUAAAUAUACAUAUAAUAUAUAUAAUAUACAUAUAAUUCACGAAUAUAUAAUAUUAUAUAUAUUAUAAAUGUAUACAAUAUAUAUAUAUAGGUCAUAGAUAGAUAGAACUUAUCCGAUACCUUGAAAAGUAUCGAGAAAUGGUUUCAAAGUUUUUAAAUUACUCGAUUCUCGCAUGUUGCGAGCAAGUAAAGUUAAAUCAGAACUGUGAACGAUCUGACGGCAGAAAUCUUGUAUUCCUCGACAAGUUUUUAUUGGUUACAAAGAGCUCGCUACGAUGUCUUAUUUAAUAAAUAGUCUUCAAAAUAAAAAAGAACAAACUGUACGAGUAGGUUGUUGCCUGGAGAGCUCUUCUGCCAAUAAUAAAACUGGACAUCGAGGAUGUUCAAGCGACUGUCAGUUAUUUUCUAAAGAUAUAAAAAAAAAACUAGUAUUACUGACUCUAAAAAAAAAUUGAAGAUCAGAGUUAGCUACAAACACACAUUAUUUAUAGCAAAAACCUUAUUAGAUAAUACCAUAAAGAAAUGUGAACAAGUAAAUAGGACCUAUUCUAAUAUAUUAUUAUGGUUUAACAAGAAAUCGUAGAUGAAGAAAAUUGGUCUUCGUGUCAGACUUAUAUUUUUUGAAUGAAGUUACGGAGAGCAGAGCAAUAUGUUUUCAGUCUUUGGUCUGUCAGUAUGACGUAGAUAUAAUAAGCGAUAGCCUAACUUGUUUUAAACGUUCUCAAGAAUCACGUUCUUGUCAUUAACUGUUAGCAGACAUCAUUACGUUUUAUAUUUUAAGUUGAUGUUUUAAUAGAUUUUUUAAAAAUAUUUCGACACACUGCAAUUCUUUUGCAUUAUGUUAAAUCUGUAUAUAGUACCAGAUAAUGAUUGAUUUCGUACAUAGUGAAAUUUAUGAUCAAUUUUUAAUACACGCGAAAUCUUAUUUAAACUCUAUUCAUUUUAUAAUUGUAAGAUAAGAAGAUAAGUACUUUUUCUCAUUUGCAUCGCUGAUUAAGACACGUUGAGAUAUUGACCUUGUUACUAAGAUAUAAUAGUUGUAAGAACAUCUUUUUAUGGACUUGAUGUCCAGUUUACGUGUGUUCUUCGAUACAGGUCAAGUAUAACGUUGUCUACAACGUGUCUUCGCAACAAGUGAACGGAUGAUCGACGAAAUUUUAAAACAAGGUUCAGAUAUAGGAGCAUUUUGUGACACUAUAAAGUGCCUGUCUUGUCAUGUUUAGACACGUGAAAAAACUCGCGCUAGAUUCCUUAUAAUCUUGAACCAUCAAUGAAAUGAUUUAAUAUUUUGUUUAAAAAACUAAGCAGCAGUAUACAUACAAAUCAACGGAAGAUUAUUGUUUCAUUAUAUUGAUAUAUAAAGCAAGGUUUCUAGAUGGUUGUACUACAUUAAAUAUGUAAUAAUGUCUUUCCUAAUUGUAUUACAGUGGACUCUCGCUAUAUGGCCCUAAACGAUAGGAGCGAAAAAGUAUUGUGGAAUAGGCCUUAUAAGCGGAUCUCUUUCCGUAUGUAACACUCGAUUGUCAAAAACAUACUUUCAAAUUUCCAGAUUAAAAAAUUUGAUAUUCUGGCAAUAUUCGUGGAUCUCCAUGCACUACAAUAACGAGAGAGGUCCACUAAUGUGCGUGAAAGUCCGUGCGAAAUGAAACUGGCUGAACUGGCCAUAUAAAUGGAAGCUAUAUAUCGAGACUGCACUGUACGUCUUAAACGUAUAUUACUGAAAAGAAAGAAACCUUGGGAUAUUCUUAGUUUAAGAAAUACAGAUUUUUCGAACUUGUCAUUUUUAUUCUUUAUCAUCUUCAUUAUGUAUAGGAUUUUAUCGUACAUUAACGCUAAAAAAACGCCACGUGAGAAAUAUAAUAGCUAUCGAAGAGAUUAAUGACAUAUUAUGCAUAAAGCGAAAGAAAUAAUAAAAAAAAUGAUUACGAAGCAUACAUCGUUUGGUAACGAAUGAUCGUAUAUGUAAUAAUAUAUUCAUUAUCUAUUGAGUUAAUUGUUCUUUUGUAACUUUAAAAAGCCUGAUUAGUUUUUUAUAAUAAUCAAUAAUGUCUAAUUAUACUUGACAGACGAAGCAGCUCAGUUUGUAUUGCGCUUACGCCUGAAUUUGGAGUUGUAUGCUGAAGGAUUAAUAAUGUAUUUACCUGUCGAAGAAUCAGGGACUAUAUAAUAUUUAAUUGUAUCAAAUUUGUCUCAGUAUUGCGUGAGAAUAUGAGCUGUUGCAUUAUUCCAUUUCAGCAUAUACUCCAAAUUGUUUGGGCACUGUAAGCAAUGUUUAGGAGGUAUAGAAAACAAAAUAACUGUGCACGUCUAGUAUUAAUAAAGAAAAACAUACAAUUGUGUAAAAGAAAAAUGAAAAAAAGAAACUUGCGAUUCAGGGUCAAAAUUGACAUUUAACUCGAUCAGAAGUACUGAACGAGGUCCUGCAUUUUCACAAAUAUCUUUAGAACAAAAAAAAAGAACAUAACGUCCAUUUUAUGUCAUUGUAUUACUGCGGCAGUUAUUAAGCAUAUUUCAGCUACAAGCAGCUAUGUAUAAGAUUUAUUUUUAUUCGCAAGAUCGAGAUGAGUAAGGUGCAAUGUUUGCUUGUCCACGUUUUUGAAAAUUGCAUACUUGUAUGCGAGUACUCUUGAACAUUCAGUAUUUAUUUAUGGACUAAACAAAAGUACAAAGUUGUAUUGAUAUGCCUUACUGUAAUAAAAGUAAGUAUUAUUCGCAAAAUUCUUGUGAGCUUCGUUAUUUUGCUAUUAAAAAUAAUAAAACGGUAUUAUGUAAUGUUUCAAAUAAGAUCCUAAACAAAAACGUGGACAAGUACGUGUUUUUGCAUCGCUGUCUUGAUUAUCGUUCCAAGUGCAUUUACGUAUCCCUUUAAGAAAUGUAUUAUUGUCAGUUUAGAACUAUAAAAUAGGUUCCUACACAAAUCAGAUUAAGUAUGUAUACGCAUGUUUUCAAUACUCUUUUUUAUGAUGUUUUUGAAAAUGCUUUGAGAUCUCACUUGUGAAACAAAGAUCAGGCCUAGUAACGAUGUCAUUAUUUUAUUUACGUGUGUCAAUAAAAAUUUUGGGCUUGCAGUUUUUUAAUGAAAACUUUCCGUUUUAACUGUACCUCUGUAAA